CAAGUUACACUGUGAAGUUUGCAGUGUAUCAAGUUACACUGUUGAAGUGAUCAUCAAAGGCGCGACUGCUUGGUGUUUAACCAAGGGUCUGAAAACCCCUAGAUCCAUCCAUGUUUGUUGCAAAUGGCAAGAUCUCUGGAUGAGAUUUAUAUUUCAGCUGGUGGACUUUGAGUAAAGCAGAUUGCCAUCCAUACUGCAGGAACCCUGAGAUGGCCCCGACUGCCAUGCUGGAAAGGCCACAAGAAGGUGUCCCCCUGAGUAAUCUGAAAUGCAUCCAGUCUUCAAGCCAUUUUCACCAAGGUGUCAGGCACUGAGUGAAGCUUUCUGGAACCCUCCAGAUCAGGCCGACUGCCAGGAGUAUAAACCAUUGACACCAACAGGAGAGUCAAUCAAGCCUUGCCCAAACUCCUGAGCAAUAAAACUUUAAGAUAUAAUAAAAUGGUUGUUCAAAGCCACUAAGUUGCUUUAAGCCACUGCUACUUGGGAUAGGUU